AAGCAGGGGGGUGGUACUCACACGAUGCCAUGGCCGCAGCGUGUGCACUCAGGCAGUCCUUGCAGGCCACUCAGCGGAGUGCCCAGCUUGCUGGCGGUGGGCUUGAGGUUGCGGGGGCCUCCGGGCCCGGGCCGCUCCCCUGAAAGCCGGAGUGCAAGUGGCAUGAGCCAGGUGCAGAGCCUUCUGCAGGCCGGUGCAACCAAAGCUCUGCUGCCCCCAGGCAACACCAUCCCCACUGGCAUCUGGCCGUAGCCCUCUCAGCCUGGCUCCCAAGUGACCGCCCUAACUCACAGCUCUACCUAUGGCCUCCACCCACCCAUUCAUCUGGGAUGAAUCUAGGACCUCUCAUGUGGCUAUAUGGCCUUAUACUUCUCUGAGGUUUUGCCCAGAAGAGAUGUAUAAAAGAUGCACAAGAGA